AGAGUUUGAUCCUGGCUCAGAUUGAACGCUGGCGGCAUGCCUUACACAUGCAAGUCGAACGGCAGCACGGGAGCAAUCCUGGUGGCGAGUGGCGAACGGGUGAGUAAUGUAUCGGAACGUACCUUUCAGUGGGGGAUAACGUAGCGAAAGUUACGCUAAUACCGCAUAUUCUGUGAGCAGGAAAGCAGGGGAUCGCAAGACCUUGCGCUGAUUGAGCGGCCGAUAUCAGAUUAGCUAGUUGGUGAGGUAAAGGCUCACCAAGGCGACGAUCUGUAGCGGGUCUGAGAGGAUGAUCCGCCACACUGGAACUGAGACACGGUCCAGACUCCUACGGGAGGCAGCAGUGGGGAAUUUUGGACAAUGGGGGCAACCCUGAUCCAGCCAUGCCGCGUGAGUGAAGAAGGCCUUCGGGUUGUAAAGCUCUUUCAGCCGGGAAGAAAUCACAUGGGUUAAUACCCUGUGUGGAUGACGGUACCGGAAUAAGAAGCACCGGCUAACUACGUGCCAGCAGCCGCGGUAAUACGUAGGGUGCGAGCGUUAAUCGGAAUUACUGGGCGUAAAGCGUGCGCAGGCGGUUUGUUAAGAUAGGCGUGAAAUCCCCGGGCUCAACCUGGGAACUGCGUUUAUGACUGGCAGGCUAGAGUAUGGCAGAGGGGGGUGGAAUUCCACGUGUAGCAGUGAAAUGCGUAGAGAUGUGGAGGAACACCGAUGGCGAAGGCAGCCCCCUGGGCCAAUACUGACGCUCAUGCACGAAAGCGUGGGUAGCAAACAGGAUUAGAUACCCUGGUAGUCCACGCCCUAAACGAUGUCAACUAGGUGUUGGGUGGGUAAAACCAUUUAGUACCGGAGCUAACGCGUGAAGUUGACCGCCUGGAGAGUACGGCCGCAAGGUUAAAACUCAAAGGAAUUGACGGGGACCCGCACAAGCGGUGGAUGAUGUGGAUUAAUUCGAUGCAACGCGAAAAACCUUACCUACCCUUGACAUGUCCAGAAGCUCUUAGAGAUUUGAGUGUGCCCGAAAGGGAACUGGAACACAGGUGCUGCAUGGCUGUCGUCAGCUCGUGUCGUGAGAUGUUGGGUUAAGUCCCGCAACGAGCGCAACCCUUGUCGUUAAUUGCCAUCAUUUAGUUGGGCACUUUAACGAGACUGCCGGUGACAAACCGGAGGAAGGUGGGGAUGACGUCAAGUCCUCAUGGCCCUUAUGGGUAGGGCUUCACACGUCAUACAAUGGUCGGCACAAAGGGUUGCCAACCCGCGAGGGGGAGCUAAUCCCAGAAAGCCGAUCGUAGUCCGGAUCGUAGGCUGCAACUCGCCUGCGUGAAGUCGGAAUCGCUAGUAAUCGUGGAUCAGCAUGUCACGGUGAAUAC
rnacentral:rRNA from 1 species